ACCCGCUGAACUUAAGCAUAUCAAUAAGCGGAGGAAAAGAAACCAACCGGGAUUGCCCUAGUAACGGCGAGUGAAGCGGCAACAGCUCAAAUUUGAAAUCGGGCAUUUAUGCUUGAGUUGUAAUUUGCAGAGGGAGCUUUGGUUCUGGCAGCGGUCUAAGUUCCUUGGAACAGGACGUCACAGAGGGUGAGAAUCCCGUAUGUGGGCGCUGGCCUUUACCGUGUAAAGCCCCUUCGAUGAGUCGAGUUGUUUGGGAAUGCAGCUCUAAAUGGGAGGUAAAUUUCUUCUAAAGCUAAAUACUGGCCAGAGACCGAUAGCGCACAAGUAGAGUGAUCGAAAGAUGAAAAGUACUUUGGAAAGAGAGUCAAAUAGCACGUGAAAUUGUUGAAAGGGAAGCGCUUGCAGCCAGACUUGCCCGUAGUUGCUUAUCCAGGCUUUUGCCUGGUGCACUCUUCUGCGGGCAGGCCAGCAUCAGUUUGGGCGGUUGGAUAAAGGUCUCUGUCAUGUACCUCUUUUCGGGGAGGCCUUAUAGGGGAGACGACAUGCAGCCAGCCCAGACUGAGGUCCGCGCAUUUGCUAGGAUGCUGGCGUAAUGGUGGU
rnacentral:rRNA from 1 species